rnacentral:rRNA from 1 species
GUGUCAGCAGCCGCGGUAAUACGGAGGAUGCAAGCGUUAUCCGGAAUGAUUGGGCGUAAAGCGUCCGCAGGUGGCUAUGUAAGUCUGCUGUUAAAGAGUCUAGCUCAACUAGAUAAGGGCGGUAGAAACUACAUGGCUAGAGUGCGUUAGGGGCAGAGGGAAUUCCUGGUGUAGCGGUGAAAUGCGUAGAGAUCAGGAAGAACACCGGUGGCGAAAGCGCUCUGCUAUGCCGCAACUGACACUGAGGGACGAAAGCUAGGGGAGCGAAUGGGAUUAGAAACCCUAGUAGUCC